rnacentral:rRNA from 1 species
AUUGAACGCUGGCGGCAGGCCUAACACAUGCAAGUCGAGCGGAUGAAGGGAGCUUGCUCCUGGAUUCAGCGGCGGACGGGUGAGUAAUGCCUAGGAAUCUGCCUGGUAGAGGGGGAUAACGUCCGGACACGGGCGCUAAUACCGCAUACGUCCUGAGGGAGAAAGUGGGGGAUCUUCGGACCUCACGCUAUCAGAUGAGCCUAGGACGGAUUAGCUAGUUGGUGGGGUAAGGGCCUACCAAGGCGACGAUCCGUAACUGGUCUGAGAGGAUGAUCAGUCACACUGGAACUGAGACACGGUCCAGACUCCUACGGGAGGCAGCAGUGGGGAAUAUUGCACAAUGGGCGAAAGCCUGAUCCAGCCAUGCCGCGUGUGUGAAGAAGGUCUUCGGAUUGUAAAGCACUUUAAGUUGGGAGGAAGGGCAGUAAGUUAAUCCCUUGCUGUUUUGACGUUACCAACAGAGUAAGCACCGGCUAACUUCGUG